CCAAAGCCUCACAUCUUAGAAAAAAUUAGAAAGAAUUCCUCCUUGCAAAUGUUCCUUUGGAACUGAAAUAGAUCUAAUGGCUUUCUUUAAUCAAAAAAACCUUAUGGCAAAAACUAUAUCUUUUGGAAGAAAUAAUAAAGACAUGUGCCUUCCUUCUUACUGGCUGUUACAGAGGAGCAGGGAAGAGGAACGACAACCUCACCAAUUGUUUGGAAAGUUGUGGCUUUCCUUUGCUCUGAACA